AAGAAAAAAAAAAAAAAAAAAGCGAAACCCUUGAAAAGAGAAGAAAUUUGUUUUCUUCAAUUCUGAAUUCAAUUUGAUUCAUUCUUUUUCUUUUUCUUCCAAUACAGAUUUGUUUGUCUUUGUAAUCUUUGGUUUUACAAUUUUAAGAGCACACACUGAACUUAUACACAUUUGAAUUAGUUCUAAAAAUGGUCAGCCAGUGCUAUCUCUCCAUUCGGAACCCAAUGGCACGAAGAAUCCGAUCAAAGGCUCCUGUAAUACUAGGAAUCACAUGACUACUAAUGAACCAUAUAUAAGUAGCGAUGGGGUUGCGCACAGAGAAUUGCAGCCAGAGGCGGCGAAGGAAGUGUUGGCUUGAUGAAUCCGGCGUCGAAGACAUAGGCUGGAGGUAGGCCCACGCCGCCUGCUUGACGAGGCGAUUGCGGAUGGAGAUAUUUCGCGAGGCGGAACCACAGGCGGAGGCAGCGGCGGUAGGAGAGUUGACGGCGGUGGAAGGGAGGAUGUCCUUAAGAGAAGUGUAAGAUAAGGAAGAUUUGAAAGAUGCCAACUCGAAGGCAAGUGGUGGAGAGGAGACGAAGCCGUUGCCGCGUGUGUGGUGAGAAGGGAGGCUGGAGGUGUAGAGAGGUUUGGCUGGGAGAGUGAGUUUAGUGGGGAUGACAACAAAUGUUGCAUUGAAGUUCUGGCGGCAGAGAGCCGGUAGCGGCGGCGGCGGGGGAGCAUCUGCUUCACCCAUGAGAGAGGGAGAUUGAGAGAAGAGGCGUUUUUGAAUUAAUGGUGAAGGAUUUAUAAUGAAGAGAAAGGACGCUCCUGUUUUUGUCGCGACGGCAGCCCGUUCAGCCUUUAGGUAGCGGUGAGGUGCUAUGCUGAUGCUAAUUGGUCUCAAUAGUCUGCAAUUAUUGGCGUUUAUUGCUUUCGUCU
rnacentral:misc_RNA from 1 species